GUGUCCUACGGGGCGCAGCAGUGGGGAAUAUUGCACAAUGGGGGAAACUCUGAUGCAGCAACGCCGCGUGAGUGAAGAAGUAUUUCGGUAUGUAAAGCUCUAUCAGCAGGGAAGAGAAUGACGGUACCUGACUAAGAAGCCCCGGCUAACUACGUGCCAGCAGCCGCGGUAAUACGUAGGGGGCAAGCGUUAUCCGGAUUUACUGGGUGUAAAGGGAGCGUAGACGGUUACGCAAGUCUGGAGUGAAAGGCUGGGGCCCAACCCCCGGACUGCUUUGGAAACUGUAUAACUGGAGUGCAGGAGAG
rnacentral:rRNA from 1 species